rnacentral:rRNA from 1 species
AACGAACGCUGGCGGCAUGCCUAACACAUGCAAGUCGAACGAGACCUUCGGGUCUAGUGGCGCACGGGUGCGUAACGCGUGGGAAUCUGCCCUUGGGUUCGGAAUAACAGUUAGAAAUGACUGCUAAUACCGGAUAAUGUCUUCGGACCAAAGAUUUAUCGCCCAGGGAUGAGCCCGCGUAGGAUUAGCUAGUUGGUGAGGUAAAGGCUCACCAAGGCGACGAUCCGUUAGCUGGUCUGAGAGGAUGAUCAGCCACACUGGGACUGAGACACGGCCCAGACUCCUACGGGAGGCAGCAGUGGGGAAUAUUGGACAAUGGGGCGAACCCUGAUCCAGCAAUGCCGCGUGAGUGAUGAAGGCCUUA